ensembl:lncRNA
UUGAGGUGUACCUGUGGAUGCAUUUCAGUGCCUACCUUCAAACUCAAUGCCUCCUUGCUUGAUAUCAUGGGAAAAUGAAAAGCCAAGACCUCAGAAAAAAACUGUAGACCUCCACAAGUCUGGUUCACACUAUGGGAGCAAUUUCCAAACGCCUGAAGGCGUCACAUCGAUCAGAGCCUGAAGUCACAGUCCAGGAGCUUGUCAAACCCUUCAACAACCACAAUACCAAGACUAGUAGUACUAUUACUUCUACUACUACUACUACAGAACCACAAUACCAAGACUAGUAGUACUAUUACUUCUACUACUACUACUACAGAACCACAACUACCAAGAGUACUACAACAGAACCAGAAGGAUGGAAACAGCUACCGACUUGGCUCUGGACGACUGAAAUCAUAUCUGUAGCAGCAGCUAUGGACAAGGAGACAGUGGUCAUAAUCCUACAAGGCACGGAGAAAGUCUCCUCUUUUGCCGCCACCAUCAACCCACUCUUCGACAUAGUCACUGCAGUGGUGAAGUUGACAUAGGACCUGGUCGCCAAAGACCUCACCCAAGACCAGGACGCCGACGAAUUCGGCCACAUCCACGCCAAGCUGGAAAACAUCUCCAAGAUAAACCAGCAGAUUCUGAAGCAGAGUCAACUGGACGAGGUCAAUGAGAAGUACAGAAAGUAUGAAGAGUAUAUCAAGCACCAGUACACCACCCCCAACACCAUGGUGGAACAGAUCGAAAAUGAGUUCAGAGUUCCAGAGGGUCUAUGAGAGAGACAAGCUUACCCUUUCUCUAGACACAUAACACUUCUGAACAAAGAGGUUUGCUGGAGGUGUACCUAGAGCAUUACAAGCAAAACCGAGACGUCAUGGAGAAAAAGUGUUCCCAAUUGGCUAAUAUCUUUCACAUGGGCCUGAUGACACGAAUGGCAUAUACAGUGGUCAGAGAGGAGGGUGAAUGUUGAAGUCAGGGAGAAAUGGGCCCCCAGGGUGGAGAAGAUUCAGGCCAAGAUGGAUGAGGCGCUGGCCCAGUGUGAGGGGAACUGAUCCUCAUCCACUCCCAGGGUCGGGUGGCAUAUGAGGGCUUUAAAGGGAUACUUUGGGAUUUUGGCAAUGAGGCCCUUUAUCUACUUCACCAGAGUCAGACCAUUUUUAUGUCUGUUGUCCAGUAUAAAGGAAGUUAGAGGUAGUUAUGUGAGUCAAUGCUAACUAGCAUUAGCGCAAUGACUGGAAGUCUAUGGGGUUGUAACGUUUCUCGUCUUCCUCUGACGAGGAGUAUGACAGAUCGGACCAAUGUACAGUGUGGUAAGUGUCCAUAAUAUAUUUUAAUGAAAUAUCACUGGACACAGAAAACAAAAGGAACAAGAGAAAUAAAUGAAAACCAACACAGUCCCGUGUGGAACAAACACUGACACGGAAAAAUAAUCACCCACAAAACACAGAUAGGAAAAGUCUACCUAAGUAUGAUUCUCAAUUAGAGACAACGACGACAACUGCCUCUGAUUGAGAACCAUACUAGGCCAUGAAUGUAAGAUUAACCAUAAUGGGUAUCUAUUUGAACAGACAUACACACAUGCAAAUCUAAUAGUGCCACUGAUGCAACCUAGCACUUUCAGUAUCAAAUAAAUAAAUAAACAUUAUCUAUCCUGUGGACACUAUUAACAGAGCAUGCUGAUUGUGAUUGUAAACCAACCAAGUGCAGUGACAACACUAAACUAACCACACAGCAAUACAAAAGGUCAAAGUAAACAUUAGCUUUAAGUGCUUCCUCUCUUAUGUGUUCUCUUGUAUCUCAGAGAAAUUAAGUAUUAGAACAAAUCUUUGUUUGUUUUUCUAAGGGUGUGUUCAUAAAUUCACUCUGGCCAUCUACUCCGAUUUCAGAGCACUCUCGUCUGAGUGUGUCAGAGCGUAGAAUAACUGAUUAAUCUACGAACACGCAACACCUGUUGAAUAUGACCUGUGUCAGUAAACGUCUGCAAAAAAAACAUAAUUAGAUUGUUGCCAGCAGCACAGUUAGUCACCAACACUAUAAACAACAUGAAAACAGCCUAACCAGCUAUUCUAGGGCGAGUAAAAUGGUCAGAGUGAGGUUUUCUCCUAAGUGUGAAGUAGCUAGCAAGCUAGUCAACUUUAGCCAGUUAGUUUGGGUGCAUGACUUGUGAGAUCAACCCUACUCCUCGGCCAGAGCGUCCACUGUGCCCUCUAAAUGCUCCAGAGCGAAACGCUCUGAAUAUACAAACAGAGAAUCUGACAACGCUCUAAAUUAUACGAAUGUGCAGAGCGCACAAAUUACGAACACACCCUAAAUAAUUACAUUUCUGGGGAAUUGUCUCUGCUCUGUGACACUCUUUCUUUUCACUUAUAUUGUAUUAUUUUCAUAUUUUGAAGCCAUUUACACCAAAAGUAGCGUAAGAUAUCAAAAAUCACUCUAAAAGACAUUAUGGGGAUGUUUUCUAGAUGUUUUGGGGAUUUUAUAUAUCUUAAUUUGCCAUAGCAGUUUUGAUUUUGAUCAGUAUCCUCUCAUAACUGACCAACAAUGUCUCCUCUUACGCUGUGGUUCAUGUUCCGUGUCCCCUUAACUGUGUCUUUGCCUAAGAAACGGUUCACAAAGUUACGUUCUCUACUUCAUUUGUUCUUGUGCUCUAAAGCACUGUAGUUUGAUUUGAUCUCUUCUGUGCUAUUAACCCCACUAUUCAGAUUUCCAGUGUUACUGAUGCCAUUUCUAUGCUCACCGAUCCAUAUCUGUGAUUCAUAACCCUAUACUCAAUGGAAUGGCUAUUCUGUGGUACCAGUCCCUGUCUCUCAUAUUGUUACAACCGAGAUGUAUGGCUGUUAAAUAGUUAUAAUUCUGCAUUAUUAAAAUGAAUUAGAUGGGAAUAUAUUUACCUCUAGGGCUUUCUGAAAAUAUACGCUCCUCAUCUAAAUGUCAU